rnacentral:rRNA from 1 species
AGUGAACGCUGGCGGUAGGCCUAACACAUGCAAGUCGAACGGCAGCACAGUAAGAGCUUGCUCUUACGGGUGGCGAGUGGCGGACGGGUGAGGAAUACAUCGGAAUCUACUUUUUCGUGGGGGAUAACGUAGGGAAACUUACGCUAAUACCGCAUACGACCUACGGGUGAAAGCAGGGGAUCUUCGGACCUUGCGCGAUUGAAUGAGCCGAUGUCGGAUUAGCUAGUUGGCGGGGUAAAGGCCCACCAAGGCGACGAUCCGUAGCUGGUCUGAGAGGAUGAUCAGCCACACUGGAACUGAGACACGGUCCAGACUCCUACGGGAGGCAGCAGUGGGGAAUAUUGGACAAUGGGCGCAAGCCUGAUCCAGCCAUACCGCGUGGGUGAAGAAGGCCUUGGGGUUGUAAAGCCCUUUUGUUGGGAAAGAAAAGCAGCAGGUUAAUACCACGCUGUUCUGACGGUACCCAAAGAAUAAGCACCGGCUAACUUCGUG